UGCGAUCAUACCGGCAUAAUGCCGGAUCCCAGUGAGAACUGCAGUUAAGCGUGCUUGGGCGAGAGUAGUACUAGGAUAGGUGACCCCCUGGGAAGUCCACGUGUUGCAC